CUCGGUGACGAUGGCGGAGAGGUCACACCCGUUCCCAUCCCGAACACGGAAGUUAAGCUCUCCAGCGCCGAUGG
rnacentral:rRNA from 1 species